CCUCUUCCCUCACACUCUCUCUCCCUCCAUCCAUCCCUUCAUCAUUCCCUCUCUCUCUCCCCCCGUCCCUCCCUCCCUCUCCCAGUAGUGCUUCAGGUGUUUCCAUCAGGUUGACACAGGUCAAAGGUCACAGGUCAGGGGUCGCUAUGGAGACGACGAUGAAGAAGAUGAUGAUGAUGUACAGGAAGACGCCGUGCAAAAAGCUAAUAGGAUUUAAGAGAUGAUUUAUUUCCCCGUUUAACUGUCACUGUUACGUAGUGGACUUCAGAGGUCACUCCUAGAGGUCAGACACCAUCAUGUUGUUUUGUUUAUUGUUUUUGUUUGUUUCUUGUUGGUGAAGACACUCACCCUUUUCAAA